rnacentral:lncRNA from 1 species
GGCUGUGGGGGAGCUAACAGGCCUGACUGACGGGCUGGAUCUGGGGCACUAGGGACAGGGCCUCAAGGACGACUCCUUGGCUGUGCCCGAGUAGCUCGGCAGAUGGUGGUGCUGUGCACUGAGAUGGAGAAAACUUGGGAAGGAAGCAUCGGAUUUGGGAGCUCGGAGAAACCGUAGUUCCGUAGUUCCGUCUUUGUAGCCAGUUCUGUUAAAGCUGAGAGGCCUCUGCUCAUCCAAAUGCAGCUCAGGGCUGGAGGUACGAUCUGGGAGUCAGUCCCCCUCUCUCUCUCUCUCUCUCACACACACACACACACACACACACACACACAUACACACACACACGCGCGCGCGCGCGCACACGGAGAGUGUGUAGGAGGACGGAGCCCUAGGACUCCUGUAUAUUGACAGGUUGGGAGGAGGAGGAGCCAGGAAAGUAAAGUGGAAGGAAUGGUCAGUGUGGCGAGAACGGCGUCCGGAGCAGUGUUGCCGGGCGGCGGUGUCAGCUGUGUCCCAGCUGCAGGGAGGCUGAGCUAGCUGAGCAGAGAAUGGGGAGGAAGAGGGCACCGUCGAGGGCCUUUGCUGCACGGCGCCGCACAGAAGUGAAGCCUCAGGGCGGGGAAACCACCCGCGCCUGACGAUGAAGCUGAGUCCGAGGUGUGUGGCUGUGAUGCUGGGGCCGGCGGCGAGGACACCGGGGAGCAUCACAGAGGGUGACACGGGCGGAGACUGCAGGGCCUCAGUGCACCGCCCUGGGCGCCGAUCGCCUCGCCGGCUCCUCUUACUCCUUCUCGGGCCCUUCCGGAAGCCCAGGGAACUCAGAGGGCGGACUGAGAGCAGCCCUCCCACCCGGCAGGCAGCGGCACAGGAGGACGGAGCGGACAGAGCUGCUGUAGUGGGGAGGCCCUUACCCGCGAUCGGAAAGCCACCGCCCUCAGUGUGAGAGAAGUCCUUCCUUUCACGUAGACACUGAUACCUGAGUCACCUUCGUGACAAAGUCUUUGCUGAAAGAAACCAGGCGCAAUCAAGAAGUCUGUUCUCACUGAGAAAGACAGCAGCAGGGGGCAGGCGUGCAGCGCUCUGGAGGCUGAGCCAGUCUGGAUUCCAAAGCCCAGCACCCAGGAGCCAAACCAGGGAAGACACAAUGCGAUGUUCCAGCAGGACCUGCUUCC